UCUGUAGGAAAAAGGUAU
rnacentral:miRNA from 1 species